CUCCCAGUUCAUUCCCAGUGAUCCCAGUGACUCCCAGUAGCUCCCAGUUCAUGCCCAUUAAAUCCCAGUGUUCCCAGUAUCCCCAUCCCAGUGCUCCCAGUAUCCCAAUCCCAGUGCUCCCAGUAUAUCCCAGUAUCCCCAGUAUCCCAUUCCCAGUGCUCCCAGUAUCCCCAGUUAUCCCAUUCCCAGUGCUCCCAGUGCUCCCAGUAACCCCAUCCCAGUGCUCCCAGUGCUCCCAGUAUUCCCAGUAUCCCAAUCCCAGUGCUCCCAGUAUUCCCAGUAACUCUCAUUAUCCCAUCCCAGUAUUCCCAGUAUCCUGUUCCCAGUGCUCCCAGUGCUCCCAGUAUCCCAAAAUUCCACCUUUAACCCAAACCCACCCAAAUUUGGGUUAAAAAACCC
rnacentral:lncRNA from 1 species